rnacentral:sRNA from 1 species
GCGCGGGGCGGGGCCGAGCCAGCGCCCCCGACUAGGUCCAUGCGCCAGGGUCUGAGCCCUGCCCCUCCACCCUGAUCCUUCCCACUCGCUCUCCCCCCGUAUGACAGAGUCGGAAAUGGGGACAUUCUCAGGAGACACAGAACGAAGUCCUCAUGGGGUUUAGAGGUGGGCAAGCUCAGAUUUUGCCAUGGCCAAGAGCAUCGACAGAAGGACAAGAGUGCAUCACCCUGAUUCUCUGACCACGAAAGCCUUUUGCAUGGCUGCACUAGCUCAUCAGACAGAAGUCCUGGAAAAGGAAAGGGCAACUUCUCUGCUGGCCGGCUGCUCCUGUAUCCUCUCAGAGUUGGACCCCUCUGAGUAUCCUCUGCAGAAGCCAGCACACUUAAGGACCUCCUUAGGUGGGGAAGCCCCUACUGGAAGCACAAGGAAGUCAUGCAUCUCUGGAUCACAGGACUGGACACACACACUGCUGGGACGCUCUGGCUGGGAGUCUGGCUUACGGAUAGAUGUGGCUGAGCAGAUCCAGAGAUGCCCAACAGCUGGGGGAUUUCUACUCAGCAAUUCUCAAUUUCACCGAGACACAAUCCCAGAUGCCGACACUCUUGACUACUCCCCAUUUGUACCCCAGAUUCCUAGUCUCCUUCAGCUUCUUUCUCACCCUGGGAAUUGAUUCUUCCUGAAGAGUUUCUUCUUCAGCAGCUCCAUAGUGACUUCUGCCAGAACUCAACAAGAGGACCCAACUAAUCACAGAAAGGCAACAACCGGCCAGUCCAGCACUGUAAACCCAAGUACAAAAGCACACAGAAACCA